UAAAGACUGAAGUGCAGGUAAAAGGUGUUUAAAGAGGACUUUAUCUCGACUGUAGCUGCGGAAAUCAAGAUUAUGUUCCUGUCAGAGAUUCAGACGUAGCGGAGAAUAAAUCCGGAACGAUCUCCGUUUGUGUAUAGGAUCUGCUGUGUCUUGGGACCGAUGCAGACGCCUCCUCAGAUCUUCUCGGUCAGUGCCUGCUCUUGGGUCAGCAGAUUUUGUCGCUAGGGUUCCCCUUUCCUCACAGCCGCUCUUUCCUUCCGCUAACAACAACGAGAUGAGUACCGACAGCGUGCAGGGAGUUAUGGGGGAAAGUCGUUCUCGUAAAUACCUUUCUACGAAAGCACGACGAUGUUGGUUUGUUUCUAUGUUUAAGACUAAUGUUCUUUAAACAGAUUAAUACGGUGAAUCCUCGACACGUUCCUGCAGCGUAACUUCAGGUGUUUUCUCUUCUUUUCUUUUUUUUACACCACUGCAUGGAUCGAUGAACACGAGCUUGGCUUGGAAGACGAAACCACGUUCUGCUCUUAAACGUAACAUGAAUUAUGGGCUUGAAAUUAAGCUGUUAAUUCAUUGCUGGCUCCUGAAUAUCUCCUCAGAGAGACUCCGCUGUCAGGUUGGCGUUGAGGAUCACUAUGAAGUGUUGUUUUUUUUUUAUUGUGAUGACAUUAACGGAUAAUACCGCCUCUACAGCACUCGUAUUUCUAAAACCAGAUGUCCGUAAACAGCUGGCGGUUUCUGCUUUGUAGCUUGAGCUUUUCUAAGAUUGGGGUUUUAUAACGUUAUAUUUUAAUAACAUUAACAACUCGUAUAAUUAGCAGUCUGCAUGACCUGGCUGAUCUUUAAGAAAAUGAUUUUGUUUUGCUUUGG
ensembl:lncRNA